rnacentral:rRNA from 1 species
GACGAACGCUGGCGGCGUGCUUAACACAUGCAAGUCGAACGGAAAGGCCCUGCUUUUGUGGGGUGCUCGAGUGGCGAAAGGGUGAGUAACACGUGAGUAACCUGCCCUUGACUUUGGGAUAACUUCAGGAAACUGGGGCUAAUACCGGAUAGGAGCUCCUGCUGCAUGGUGGGGGUUGGAAAGUUUCGGCGGUUGGGGAUGGACUCGCGGCUUAUCAGCUUGUUGGUGGGGUAGUGGCUUACCAAGGCUUUGACGGGUAGCCGGCCUGAGAGGGUGACCGGCCACAUUGGGACUGAGAUACGACCCAGACUCCUACGGGAGGCAGCAGUGGGGAAUAUUGCACAAUGGGCGGAAGCCUGAUGCAGCAACGCCGCGUGCGGGAUGACGGCCUUCGGGUUGUAAACCGCUUUCGCCUGUGACGAAGCGUGAGUGACGGUAAUGGGUAAAGAAGCACCGGCUAACUACGUG